GGUGAACGCUGGCGGCAGGCUUAACACAUGCAAGUCGGACGGGAAGUGGUUUUUCCAGUGGCGUACGGGGGAGUAACUCGUAAGAACCUGCGCUUUGGAGGGGAACAACAGCUGUAAACGGCGGCUAAUACCCCGUAGUCUGGGGAGCAAAAGGAAGAAUCCGCCCGAGGAGGGGCUCGCUUAUGAUUAGCUAGUUGGUGAGGCGAUAGCUUACCAAGGCGAUGAUCAGUAGCUGGUCCGAGAGGAUGAUCGGCCACACUGUGACUGAGACACGGACUGGACUAUUACGGACGGCAGCAGCGGGGAAUUUCCAGCAAUGGGCGAAAGCUUGACGGAGCAAUGGCGUGUGGAGGCAGAAGGGCUACGGGUCGUGAACUUCUUUUCAAGGAGAAGAAGCAAUGACGGUAUCUGGGGAAUAAGCACCGGCUAACUCCGUG
rnacentral:rRNA from 1 species